rnacentral:rRNA from 1 species
AAGCUCGUAGUUGAAUUUCGGGGUUCUACCGUUGGUCGGGCUAACCAGUCUGUACUAGCGUGUAGAAUUCCUACCCUUCUGGGGAACCAUUAUGUUAUUAAUUUAGCGUGGUGGGAAACCCAGGACUUUUACCUUGAAAAAAUUAGAGUGUUCAAAGCAGGCUUACGUCUGAAUACAUUAGCAUGGAAUAAUAAAAUAGGACGGUGGUCCUGUUUUGUUGGUUUCUGAAUCACCGUAAUGAUUAAUAGGGAUAGUUGGG